rnacentral:rRNA from 1 species
AUUGAACGCUGGCGGCAGGCCUAACACAUGCAAGUCGAGCGGAUGAAGGGAGCUUGCUCCUUGAUUCAGCGGCGGACGGGUGUGUAAUUCCUAUGAAUCUGCCUGGUAGUUGGUGAUAACGUCCGUACACGGGCGCUAAUACCGCAUACGUCCUGAUGUAGAACGUGGGGGAUCUUCGGACCUCACGCUUUCAGAUGUGCCUAGGUCGUAUUAGCUAGUUGGUUGGGUAAAGGCAUACCAAGGCGACGAUCCGUAACUGGUCUGAGAGGAUGAUCAGUCACACUGGAACUGAGACACGGUACAGACUACUACGGGAGGCAGCAGUGGGGAAUAUUGGACAAUGGGCGAAAGCAUGAUCCAGCAAUGCCGCGUGUGUGAAGAAGGUCUUAGGAUUGUAAAGAACUUUAAGUAGGGAGGAAGGGCAGUAAGUUAAUACCUUGCUGUUUUGACGUUAACAACAGAAUAAGCACCGGCUAACUUCGUG